AGCGAACGCUGGCGGCGUGCUUAACACAUGCAAGUCGAGUGCGCGGUUCGUAGCAAUACGAACUGGCGCACGGCGCACGGGUGAGGAACACGUGGGCAACAUGCCCUCCGAUGGGGAAUAACCCGCCGAAAGGCGGGCUAAUACCGCAUACGAUUCCGGGGACCUCGGUUCCUGGACUGAAAGCCCGCAAGGGCGUCGGUGGAGUGGCCCGCGGCCGAUUAGCUUGUUGGCGGGGUAACGGCCCACCAAGGCAAUGAUCGGUAGCCGGUCCGAGAGGAUGAUCGGCCACACUGGAACUGAGACACGGCCCAGACUCCUACGGGAGGCAGCAGUGGGGAAUAUUGCGCAAUGGGCGAAAGCCUGACGCAGCGACGCCGCGUGUGGGAUGACGGCCU
rnacentral:rRNA from 1 species